rnacentral:rRNA from 1 species
GAUGAACGCUGGCGGCGUGCCUAAUACAUGCAAGUCGAGCGAACGGACGAGAAGCUUGCUUCUCUGAUGUUAGCGGCGGACGGGUGAGUAACACGUGGAUAACCUACCUAUAAGACUGGGAUAACUUCGGGAAACCGGAGCUAAUACCGGAUAAUAUUUUGAACCGCAUGGUUCAAAAGUGAAAGACGGUCUUGCUGUCACUUAUAGAUGGAUCCGCGCUGCAUUAGCUAGUUGGUAAGGUAACGGCUUACCAAGGCAACGAUGCAUAGCCGACCUGAGAGGGUGGUCGCCCCCACGAGAGGGGAGCACGGGCCCACACCCCACGGGGGGGAGCAAGUGGGAAUUCUCCCGAAGGGGGGAAAGCCCUGCAGGAGAAGCCCGGGGUGAGUAAGAAGGGUCUGCGGAUCAAAAAACUUUUUUAUGGGGAAAAAAAAUUUGUGAAAUAAACUGUACACAUCUUGGGGCUCCAAAAUAAAAAAGCCCGGGCAACCCACGUC